GUCUGAAUCAUCAUCUUCACAUUCUUCUAUCAUUUUUGAAAUAGGAUUCUUUUCUUGAUCAACUCCAGGUGCAAAAUGACUUCACUCAUUCACUGAACAUGGUUGUUUGAACUGGAUAGAUGGUGAAUUUGGGAGUGCAGAUUGCUAUCAAUGGAGGUUUAUAUAGAUGCUGAAUAGUGUCUUUCAAAAUUGAAGACUUUCUUGGAAUUAUGAAGGCUGCACCAAAUGGUUCAACAUCCAAGAUUGAUUUGAAUUUACAGUGAUGUAUUUAUUAAUGCAAAUGGCGGAACAACUUCCCACAAAUUUGGGAAACGAAAAAGGUGGUUGAUAAUAGAUUUAGUAUUUAAUUCAAAUACAAACACAUUUAUUUUAAA